UACAGAGGGGGCAAGCGUUAUUCGGAUUCACUGGGCGUAAAGGGUGCGCAGGCGGUCGGGUGUGUCAGAUGUGAAAUCCCGAGGCUCAACCUCGGAACUGCGUCUGAAACUACUCGACUAGAGUACUGGAGAGGGUAACGGAAUUCACGGUGUAGCAGUGAAAUGCGUAGAUAUCGUGAGGAACACCAGAGGCGAAGGCGGUUACCUGGACAGUUACUGACGCUCAGGCACGAAAGCAUGGGGAGCAAAAGGG
rnacentral:rRNA from 1 species